rnacentral:rRNA from 1 species
AAUAGAUACCCCGGUAGUCCACGCCGUAAACGAUGAGUGCUAAGUGUUAGAGGGUUUCCGCCCUUUAGUGCUGCAGCUAACGCAUUAAGCACUCCGCCUGGGGAGUACGGCCGCAAGGCUGAAACUCAAAGGAAUUGACGGGGGCCCGCACAAGCGGUGGAGCAUGUGGUUUAAUUCGAAGCAACGCGAAGAACCUUACCAGGUCUUGACAUCCUCUGCCAACCCUAGAGAUAGGGCGUUCCCCUUCGGGGGACAGAGUGACAGGUGGUGCAUGGUUGUCGUCAGCUCGUGUCGUGAGAUGUUGGGUUAAGUCCCGCAACGAGCGCAACCCUUGAUCUUAGUUGCCAGCAUUCAGUUGGGCACUCUAAGGUGACUGCCGGUGACAAACCGGAGGAAGGUGGGGAUGACGUCAAAUCAUCAUGCCCCUUAUGACCUGGGCUACACACGUGCUACAAUGGAUGGUACAAAGAGCUGCGAACCCGCGAGGGUAAGCGAAUCUCAUAAAGCCAUUCUCAGUUUCGGAUUGUAGG